rnacentral:rRNA from 1 species
UACCAAAAACAUCGCCUCCUGCAACACACAGUAUAGGAGGUCCAGCCUGCCCAGUGACUACGGGUUUAACGGCCGCGGUAUAUUGACCGUGCAAAGGUAGCGCAAUCACUUGUCUUUUAAAUAGAGACCUGUAUGAAUGGCUAGACGAGGGCUUAACUGUCUCCCCCCUCCAGUCAGUGAAAUUGAUCUAUCCGUGCAGAAGCGGGUAUAACGGUACAAGACGAGAAGACCCUUUGGAGCUUAAGGUACAAAGCUCAGGCACGUUAAGCAACUCCCUGAAAAGCAAGAACUUAGUGACCAUGAACUUCUCUUCGGUUGGGGCGACCACGGAGGAAAAUCAAGCCUCCGAGUGGAGUGGGCCAAAACCCCUAAAGCCAAAAGGAACACCUUUAAGCCGCAGAACAUCUGACCAAUAAUGAUNCGGUUAGAAAACCGAUCAACGGACCAAGUUACCCUAGGGAUAACAGCGCAAUCCUCUCCCAGAGCCCAUAUCGACGAGGGGGUUUACGACCUCGAUGUUGGAUCAGGACAUCCUGAUGGUGCAGCCGCUAUUAAGGGUUCGUUUG